rnacentral:rRNA from 1 species
GACGAACGCUGGCGGCGUGCUUAACACAUGCAAGUCGAACGGAAAGGCCCCUUUGGGGGUACUCGAGUGGCGAACGGGUGAGUAACACGUGAGUAACCUGCCCUUGACUUCGGGAUAACUACAGGAAACUGGGGCUAAUACCGGAUAGGAAUCCUUGCUGCCUGGUGGGGGUUGGAAAGCUUCGGCGGGUUUGGAUGGACUCGCGGCUUAUCAGCUUGCUGGUGGGGUAGGUGCUUACCAAGGAUUUGACGGGUAGCCAGCCUGGGAGGGCGACCGGCCACCUUGGGACUUGGAUACGGCCCAGACUCCUACGGGGGGCAGCAGGGGGGAAUAUUUCACAAAGGGCGGGAGCCUGAUGCAGCAACGCCGCGUGCGGGAUGACGGCCUUCGGGUUGGAAACCGCUUUCAGCAGGGGCGAAGCUUGUGGUGACGGUACCUGCAGAAGAAGCACCGGCUAACUACGUG